rnacentral:misc_RNA from 1 species
AAGAGUAAGUGCACCCGUUGCGUACCUUUUGUGGCAAUCAUGGGCGUGGAUCUGACAGGCAUCUCCAAGAAGAGUCGUGUGAUUCGCCAUCACACGUACUCGACGAACCCCUACAUCAAGCUGCUGAUCAAGCUGUACAAGUUCCUCGCGAAGCGCACAAGCUCUGGCUUCAACAAGGUCGUGUACCAGCGCCUGAUCAAGAGCCGCAGCAACCGCGCUCCGAUCUCGCUGAGCCGCAUCGCCGUCGUCAUGAAGCGCAAGGCUGUCUUCACCGCGAAGAGCAAGGCUGCCCCGAUCGCCGUCGUGGUCGGUGACGUCCUGGAUGAUGUGCGCAUGGCCCGCAUCCCCGCGAUGCGCGUCUGCGCCCUGCGCUUCUCCAAGAGCGCGCGCCAGAGCAUCGUCGCCGCCGGCGGUGAGUGCCUGACCUUCGACCAGCUCGCCAUGAUUGCUCCCACUGGCAAGAACACGUACCUGCUGCGUGGUCGCAAGUCUGGCCGCGAGUCGGUGCGCCACUUCGGCGCCUCUGGCGUGCCCGGCAGCCACUCGAAGCCUUACGCGACCAACCGCGGCAAGGAGACGAAGCGCGGCCGCCGCACGGGCCGCUCGUACAAACGCAAGGCCUUCCGCCAUGUCUGAGCUGCUGCGGCUUCUUGACCAUCUCAGUGCGCCUCGGCGUCUGCGCGUGCGCUGGGGCAGCGUCUGGGACGAAUGCGGGGCGGCGUGCAAGAAGGGAGUGGGACAGGCGGAGGCGAUGUAUGCGUAUGUGUGUGCUUGUAAGGAGGGAGCGUUCGGCAGAAUCGCUAUGGAGGGGUUGCUCUCGCUGUUUGACAACCUCCUCACUGCUGUCCUCGUUUCCUCCUCUGUGCGCAUACCUCUUCUUCUUCCCCGCAGCUUCACAAAAGACAGGCCACGAAUCACUGAGCAGCCAUCGCGGUGCAUACACAUACACACCCACAGGCACUCGCGUGUUUUGGGUCUGCUGGGCAAGAGAACGACGAUGCCGCCGCGAGAGUUUGCAGACUGUGCUGCAGCUUGCUCCUCUCUUUCUUUUCCACUUACCCGUCUGGUUUCAUUUGUGUUUUCUAUUUUUCUUCUUUGCCGUUUG